rnacentral:ribozyme from 1 species
CUUAAUCAAAAGUAACAAUAAAACAAAAACAAGAAAGAAAAGAAAAAGAAUGAUGGAAGUUAGAGUUAUAUGGAGCCUUAUUAAGGCUUUCUUUUCGACGGUCCUAUUAAUCUUCUCCAUUACUGUUAUAAUGGCACUUAUUUUUAAUCGGGA